CACUAUGCCUGCCCCUAAACCUAGAUAGACUACCUACAUUACUAUCCGCCUGAGAACUACGAGCGGUAGCUUAAAACUCAAAGGACUUGGCGGCACUUCACACCCCCCUAGAGGAGCCUGUUCUAGAACCGAUGCUCCCCGUUCAACCUCACCUUCUCUUGUUCUCUUUUUCCCAGCCUAUAUACCGCCGUCGCCAGUUCACCCUGUAAAGGCCCAAGCAGUGAACAUAACCGGCACAGCCAAAUAUGACAGGUCGAGGUGUAGCUUAUGAGAAGGGAAGAAAUGGGCUACAAUUACUUAUAAAGCUAAUACGAAAUGUAAAAGCUGAAACGCAUACACGAAGGAGGAUUUAGAAGUAAGGGGGAAAUAGAGUGUCCCCCUGAAGCGGGUAUCUGAAGCGUGCACACACCGCCCGUCACUCUCCCCACACAUUGGCCUUUUUAGAUUACUUAAAAAAUUUUACAAGAGAAGGGGAGAAAAGUCGUAA
rnacentral:rRNA from 1 species